rnacentral:rRNA from 1 species
UACGGAGGAUCCAAGCGUUAUCCGGAUUUAUUGGGUUUAAAGGGUGCGUAGGCGGCCUAUUAAGUCAGGGGUGAAAGACGGUAGCUUAACUAUCGCAGUGCCUUUGAUACUGAUGGGCUUGAAUGUACUUGAGGUAGGCGGAAUGUGACAAGUAGCGGUGAAAUGCAUAGAUAUGUCACAGAACACCAAUUGCGAAGGCAGCUGACGAAACUGUAACUGACGCUGAGGCACGAAAGCGUGGGGAUCAAACAGG